AGAACAGCAGUGACUAGCAGCUGCUGGAAUUACAGAAGGGAGACAAAAGCUUUCAACCCUCUACUGCACGUGGUAUGUUGGCUACUUCAGCAGUGUGGCCACUGUGAGAGAGCUGGGCUAGAUGUUUGGGUUUUAGGUUCGUGCAUAGCUCCUUGUACAGAUGUCACUUCAGACAAAAUCAUUUGUCUUAAUUCUUCAUCUGCAAGACAGAUUUCUACUACCACUGAGUUAGGAUAAAAUGCGAUGAAAUAUAUACAAACAUUCAAGAUAAACAUGCUUUUAUAAUGCAGAGUAGUGGUGGUGUUCUUUGGAGAUAAGGUGAUAAAAAAUUCACUGUCUUUUGUUAAAGACGAAUAGACUCAAAAUAUAUGUACUGUUUAGAUAGGAUUUUUUUUAAGAUUAGAUUUCAAUGCAAAUCUGUUUUGAAGAUUAGUACAAUCUGAACUGUUUUGGACAUCUUUGUU
rnacentral:lncRNA from 1 species